rnacentral:tRNA from 1 species
GGGCGGUUAGCUCAGCUGGUUAGAGCGUCCCGUUUACACCGGGAAGGCCCGGGGUUCGAAUCCUCGACCGCCCA